rnacentral:tRNA from 1 species
GGUGGCUCAGUGGUAGAGCCCUUGCUUUGCACGCAUGAGGCGCUGGGUUCGAUUCCUCAGCACCA